rnacentral:tRNA from 1 species
GGGGGUGUGGCUCAGUUGGUAGAGCGUUCGCUUAGCAGCUUCUCAACUGCGAAAGGUCCUGAGUUCGAUUCUUAGCUCCUCCA